rnacentral:lncRNA from 1 species
GGCCCAUCUUCCUGUGUUAUCAUCACAAUAGUCCUGCAGGAUAGGUGAUUGACACUUAAUCCAAUGAUGUUACCAGAUAAAUGGAGGUCAGGGGCUAGGUGGCUUUUCCUAGGUCUGUGCACCCUCUCUCAAGCCUCCCCCUCAUCUGUCUGCCCUGAGGGUACUUGGCAUGUCAGUACCCACUGCUAAUGUCAGAGGCCCCAGCUGUUGGAAUAACAGUUCAUUCUGUUUCAUGCAUGCAGCGAGACUGCUCUGGGCUGAGGCCCUCGAGGAGGCAGAGAUUUGCAGAGUUCAUCUUUUGAAAGAGAAAGGUUCCAAGUCAUAUGAAGUGCUUCUGUCACUCCAGGAAGAGGCUGUGUUCAGUUGGUCAGAGGGCAUGGUCUCCUUCCAGCUCCUGUCCCCAACCUUAAGUGGCUCCAAGAAAGGUCUUAUUAUAGUGCAUCAGCCAGGUGGCCAGAGUAGCUCACUGGGCUCAAGUGAGGCCUUCUCUGCUCACAUGCCUGUGAUGGACAGGCCUGGUGGAUCACAGCAGGGCUGGGCUGGAUGCUCCAUUCAAACUGCUGGCCUUCAGUCUUAAGGAUCCAGAUGAAUGUUUCCCAUGCAUGGAUUUUUGACAGAAGUAGUGAAGUGGGUGACUGCUGUUCCCAGGUCUGCAGAGGAAAGCAGAGACCCCUCCUACAGGAGAGCCUGAGGAAGAUGCAUUGCAUUUGGAGACAGCAAAAGACAAACUCACUCCCUUUAGAUAGCUGAAAGGUGAAGGACCCUCUGGGCUUCCCCAUUUGAGUUGGUGGAAUCCAUAGAUAAAUGAUUGAGUGAAGCCAGAUGUGGUGGUGCAUGCCUGUAUUCCCAGCACCCUGAGAGGCUAAGGCAGGAAAUUGCAAGUUUGAGCCCAGCCUGAAUAACGUAGGGACUUGUGGCUGAAGAAAUAGCUCAGUGUGAAGGACUUAGUUCAAUCUCUGGUAUUGCAAAGGAAAAAAUAUUAAGUGCUGAAUGAAGGGAAGGUUGUUAAAAGAUAAUACACAGCACAGAUUAUUCUUCUAUAAAAUGCAUCAUUUCCUAUUUGGAAGAGCUCUGGUCAGCUGCAGCCCAGCCCUCACGGUGUUCAGAAGAGGCACCUGAGGCCUAAAGAGAGGAGAGGACUGGUGGGGGAUGCUUCAGUUUCCUGAUCAGGGGUAGGACAAAUGUUAUUCUCCGAUUUGGAUGCCUUUCCCAUCUUAUUCCAGGCACUUUUGUGGGGAGGAAAGAGGGAACUUUCAGAACACAGCUUCUUCCUCUUCCUCUUCUUCUUCUUCUUCUUUUUUUUUUUUUUGUU